CUUUAAAAAACCCAAAAUUCAAACUAAUUUAAAGACAAAUUAUUAACUAAUUUGAAUUUAUUAACAGCAAAAAUGAAGGAAAAAAACAACUACAAAUAACACAAGAAGCUAAAAAAUGUAAAUAUGAAUAUGAGGCCUAUACGAGAAUAUUCAUUUGUUGUUUACCUUAAUUAUAUAAGUCACAGACGAACCUUUAUAAAAGAAAUAGAAAUAGAACAGAAAAAUGAAAACAACUAAUUUUUCUCAUCAGAAAAAUCAUAUGGGUAAGACCCGAAAAAAAAAGCAAUUCAAUCGAACAUAUGGUAAUGAUAUGCCAAACAAUCAAGAAGGUUAUUAACAACAAAAUGGUUUAAAUAUAAACGAACACUAGAGUACGGAGAACAAAAAUAUUUCAUAUACUAAUUUUGUGAUUUAUUAGGCUCCAAUAUAUUCAUUUAGAUUAGAGAAAUAUGCUAAUUGCCAAUGUAUAAGUAUUCAGGAUCGAAUUCAAAACUUUAGAUAACUAUUUAACGCUUUCAGAAAAUCAUACAAGCCUUUUCUGUAAUUUAUAACACGGGAACAAGGCCUUGAGACAGUUUCCAACAAAUAGUUGAUCCGAACCGUGCUGUAGAGUUCGAAAAACAACAAAUAUAUACACUCUCUACUUAGUUAUCCUGAAUUUUGGAACACAAAAACGGACUUUGAAGCAUGCAAACGGGAGCUGGUUUUACUUAGCCAUCUAAACUUUUUACUCACUACAGAACGUUUACUCUUUCUGCAUUCAUCUGAAGAAAGCAGGCGUAUGCUGAAAAUAAAAAUCUGUAUUCGUAUAACUUGAUCCUUUGCUGUGUGGGUGUUGGGCUGUAAUUCUUGAACAUCUUGA